rnacentral:rRNA from 1 species
CAGGCCUAACACAUGCAAGUCGAGCGGUAGCACAAGGGAGCUUGCUCCCUGGGUGACGAGCGGCGGACGGGUGAGUAAUGUCUGGGAAACUGCCUGAUGGAGGGGGAUAACUACUGGAAACGGUAGCUAAUACCGCAUAACGUCGCAAGACCAAAGAGGGGGACCUUCGGGCCUCUUGCCAUCAGAUGUGCCCAGAUGGGAUUAGCUAGUAGGUGGGGUAAUGGCUCACCUAGGCGACGAUCCCUAGCUGGUCUGAGAGGAUGACCAGCCACACUGGAACUGAGACACGGUCCAGACUCCUACGGGAGGCAGCAGUGGGGAAUAUUGCACAAUGGGCGCAAGCCUGAUGCAGCCAUGCCGCGUGUGUGAAGAAGGCCUUCGGGUUGUAAAGCACUUUCAGCGAGGAGGAAGGUGGUGAACUUAAUACGUUCAUCAAUUGACGUUACUCGCAGAAGAAGCACCGGCUAACUCCGUGCCAGCAGCCGCGGUAAUACGGAGGGUGCAAGCGUUAAUCGGAAUUACUGGGCGUAAAGCGCACGCAGGCGGUUUGUUAAGUCAGAUGUGAAAUCCCCGGGCUCAACCUGGGAACUGCAUUUGAAACUGGCAAGCUAGAGUCUCGUAGAGGGGGGUAGAAUUCCAGGUGUAGCGG